rnacentral:lncRNA from 1 species
ACAAACAUUCUUUCAUAAAACUCUUAUUCAAGGUAAAAAUAAAACAACUCAUCAAACUCAUUUUUUGUGCCUUAGGGCAUCAUUCCAAACCCUUUUCUCAAAGGUAAAAUCAACCGACACACAAAUAGUUUUUACUCCGAACUACGGAGCUCUGAUUCAUCAUCCCUGAAUAAGUGAUAUGUAGGCACAAGGGUCCCAAUCCUUGGAGAGCAUUAUAAU